UUUUUCAUCUUUGAGU
rnacentral:sRNA from 1 species